rnacentral:rRNA from 1 species
UGAAUACGAGAUGCUACGGCGUCGAAGCAGUCUAUGUCAUACUUCCAAGAAAAGCUUGCACUGUCAUAAACAAAUAAUGCCUGUACCAUAACCGACACAGGUGGGUAGGUAGAGUAUACUAAGGGGCGCGAGAUAACUCUCUCUAAGGAACUCGGCAAAAUGACUCCGUAACUUCGGGAGAAGGAGUGCCUUAUUUAUAAGGUUGCAAUAACAAGAUCCAAGCAACUGUUUACCAAAACACAGGUCUCCGCUAAGUCGUAAGACGAUGUAUGGGGGCUGACGCCUGCCCAGUGCCAGAAGGUUAAAGAAGUUGGUUAGCAUCCGCGAAGCUGAUAACUGAAGCCCUGGUGAACGGCGGCCGUAACUAUAACGGUCCUAAGGUAGCAAAAUUCCUUGUCGGGUAAGUUCCGACCCGCACGAAAGGCGUAAUGAUUUGGAUACUGUCUCGGAGAGGGGCUCAGUGAAAUAGACUUGUCUGUGAAGAUGCGGACUACCUGCACCAGGACAGAAAGACCCUAUGAAGCUUUACUGUAACCUGAAAUUGAAAUUGGACUUUACUUGCGCAGUAUAGGUGGGAGGCGUUGAGAAUAUUCUUGCGGGAUUAUUGGAGCCAUCAGUGAGAUACCACUCUUGUAAUGUUAGAUUUCUAACUUUGUAUCAUUAUCUGGUCAAAGAACAGUUUCAGGCGGGCAGUUUGACUGGGGCGGUCGCCUCCUAAACGGUAACGGAGGCGCACAAAGGUUUCCUCUGAACGGGUAGAAAUCGUAUCUAGAGUGUAAAGGCAUAAGGAAGCUUGACUGUGAGACCUACAAGUCGAGCAGGGACGAAAGUCGGUCUUAGUGAUCUGACGGUGCUGAGUGGAAAGGCCGUCACUCAACGGAUAAAAGUUACUCUAGGAUAACAGGCUGAUCUCCCCCAAGAGUUCACAUCGACGGGGAGGUUUGGCACCUCGAUGUCGGCUCAUCGCAUCCUGGGGCGGUAGUACGUCCCAAGGGUUGGGCUGUUCGCCCAUGAAAGCGGUACGCGAGCUGGGUUCAGAACGUCGUGAGACAGUUCGGUCCAUAUCCGGUGUAGGCGUUAGAAUAUUGAGAGGAGCCUUCUUUAGUACGAGAGGACCGAGAAGGACAUACCUCUGGUGUACCAGUUAUCGUGCCAACGGUAAACGCUGGGUAGCUAUGUGUGGAGUGGAUAACCGCUGAAAGCAUCUAAGUGGGAAGCCCACCUCAAGAUAAG